rnacentral:rRNA from 1 species
AACGAACGCUGGCGGCAUGCCUAACACAUGCCAGUCGAACGAAACCUCCGGGUCUUGUGGCGCACGGGUGCGUCACGCGUGGGAACCUUCCCUUAGGUUCGGAAUAACUCCCCGAAAGGGGUGCUAAUACCGGAUAAUGUCUUCGGACCAAAGAUUUAUCGCCUUUGGAUGGGCGCGCGUUGGAUUAGCUAGUUGGUAGGGUAAAAGCCUACUAAGGCGACGAUCCAUAGCUGGUCUGAGAGGAUGAUCAGAAACACUGGGACUAAGACACGGCCCAGACUCUUACGCAAGGGGGGAGUGGCGGAUAUAGGAACACGGGGGGAAGGAUGAUGCAGCACCGCCGGGAAAGUGAUGUAGGCCGUAGAGUUGUAAUGCUCUUUUAACCGGGCUGAUAAUGACGGUACCGGGAGAAUAAGCUCCGGCUAACUACGUG